rnacentral:sRNA from 1 species
GAUUCUGCCCUGCGGGGAAGAAUGAGAAGCUUCGACUAAGGUUCGACUCGAGCGCCAGCGAGAGAACGUUGCCAAGGGCAACGGCCCGAAGGGCGAGGAGCGAUAGCGACGAGUUAUCCUUCCCCCACCACCA